rnacentral:tRNA from 1 species
CCAACCUUAGCUCAGAUGGUAGAGCGGAGGACUGUAGUGUGGGACAGAUUGAUCCUUAGGUCGCUGGUUCGAAUCCGGCAGGUUGGA